AGAGAGACAUGGCCUAGGCUAUCGAGCUACGUGCUUGUCAAGCCUCAGCUUCAGCCCAUGACCCCUUCAUGACUUUCAAACUACUACCACACAGAAGACUCUGCCACAUGACAAAGUCUGGUUACCAGCAUGGGAGCUCCUAUGUACUGACUCUGAGGAAAUAGUCUCAGAAGAUUUCAGUUUACUGAUGCUGCUCCCUCCUUAUUCACAGCCAAUUUAUCAGCUCCAGCCUGACUAGCACUUAUUGGCCCAGUAAAGUAAAUGCUUCCCUUAAGUA